rnacentral:rRNA from 1 species
GCAGCAGGCACGCAAAUUACCCAAUGCCGGCACGGUGAGGUAGUGACAAAAAAUAACGAUACGGGACUCUAUUGAGGCCCCGUAAUCGGAAUGAGUACACUUUAAAUUCUUUAACAAAAAUCCAUUGGAGGGCAAGUCUGGUGCCAGCAGCCGCGGUAAUUCCAGCUCCAAUAGCGUAUAUUAAAGUUGUUGCGGUUAAAAAGCUCGUAGUUGGUUCUGCGUGCCACGCUGUCGGUUCGCCGCCUGUCGGUGCAACUGGCAUGUUGUGGCAUGUCAUGUCGGUGGUAAACGGGAUUGUCUUACAGCGGGUACUCAGGGGUAGGCGCAUCGUCGCUGAACCUGGCCGCAAGGCGAUCGUGUUUACCGACCUUGUAUCCUACUUCGGUGCUCUUAAACGAGUGUCGUGGUAGGCCGGCACGUUUACUUUGAACAAAUUAGAGUGCUUCAAGCAGGCUAAAAAUACUGCCUAAAUAGUGGUGCAUGGAAUAAUGGAAUAGGACCUUGGUUCUGUUUUGUUGGUUUUCGGAACACAAGGUAAUGAUCAAUAGGGACAGGCGGGGGCAUUCGUAUUGCGGCGUUAGAGGUGAAAUUCUUGGAUCGUCGCAAGACGUACAAGAGCGAAAGCAUUUGCCAAGUAUGUCCUGAUUGAUCAAGAACGAAAGUUAGAGGCUCGAAGGCGAUCAGAUACCGCCCUAGUUCUAACCAUAAACGAUGCCAGCCAGCGAUCCGCCGAUAUUCCUAUGAUGAUUCGACGGGGAGCUUCUAUCCCGGGAAACCAAAGCUUUUGGGUUCCGGGGGAAGUAUGGUUGCAAAGCUGAAACUUAAAGGAAUUGACGGAAGGGCACCACCAGGAGUGGAGCCUGCGGCUUAAUUUGACUCAACACGGGUAACCUCAUCAGGUCAGGACAUUGGAAGGAUUGACAGAUUGAUAGCUCUUUCUUGAUUCAGUG